AACGUAGGUUCCGAGCGUUAUCCGGAUUUACUGGGCGUAAAGCGCGUUCAGGCGGUUUGGCAAGUCGGGCAUGAAAUCUCUCGGCUCAACCGGGAGAGGUUGUCCGAUACUGCUGGACUUGAGGGCAGUAGAGGGUGGUGGAAUUCCGGGUGUAGCGGUGGAAUGCGUAGAGAUCCGGAAGAACACCGGUGGCGAAGGCGGCCUGCUGGGCAGUGGCUGACGCUGAGGCGCGACAGCGUGGGGAGCAAACAGG
rnacentral:rRNA from 1 species